rnacentral:rRNA from 1 species
GCGGCGGACGGGUGAGUAACACGUGGAUAACCUACCUAUAAGACUGGGAUAACUUCGGGAAACCGGAGCUAAUACCGGAUAAUAUAUUGAACCGCAUGGUUCAAUAGUGAAAGACGGUUUUGCUGUCACUUAUAGAUGGAUCCGCGCCGCAUUAGCUAGUUGGUAAGGUAACGGCUUACCAAGGCAACGAUGCGUAGCCGACCUGAGAGGGUGAUCGGCCACACUGGAACUGAGACACGGUCCAGACUCCUACGGGAGGCAGCAGUAGGGAAUCUUCCGCAAUGGGCGAAAGCCUGACGGAGCAACGCCGCGUGAGUGAUGAAGGUCUUCGGAUCGUAAAACUCUGUUAUUAGGGAAGAACAAAUGUGUAAGUAACUAUGCACGUCUUGACGGUACCUAAUCAGAAAGCCACGGCUAACUACGUGCCAGCAGCCGCGGUAAUACGUAGGUGGCAAGCGUUAUCCGGAAUUAUUGGGGCGUAAAGCGCGCGUAGGGC